rnacentral:rRNA from 1 species
CGUGCAGGCGGCCUUGCAAGUCGGACGUGAAAUCCCACGGCUCAACCGUGGAAGUGCAUUCGAAACUGCGAGGCUGGAGUCCUGGAGAGGAAAGUGGAAUACUCGGUGUAGAGGUGAAAUUCGUAGAUAUCGAGUGGAACACCGGUGGCGAAGGCGGCUUUCUGGACAGGUACUGACGCUGAGACGCGAAAGCGUGGGGAGCAAACAGGAUUAGAUACCCUGGUAGUCCACGCCGUAAACGAUGAGUGCUAGGUGUCACGGGCUUUGACCCUCGUGGUGCCGAAGCUAACGCGUUAAGCACUCCGCCUGGGGAGUACGGCCGCAAGGCUAAA